rnacentral:rRNA from 1 species
UACGUAGGGGGCGAGCGUUUGUCCGAAGUUACUGGGCGUAAAGCGCGCGUAGGCGAGGGAUUAAGUGAGAGGUGAAAGGCUGGGGCUCAACCUCAUGCAGUGCCUCUCAUACUGGUUCUCUUUGAGGGCGGUAGGGAGAAGUGGAAUGGCUGGUGUAGCGGUGAAAAUGCGUAGAUAUCAGUCGGAACACCGGUGGCGAAGGCGGCUUCUUGGGCCGUUCCUGACGCUGAGGCGCGAAAGCUGGGGGGAGCGAACGGGG